rnacentral:rRNA from 1 species
AAUGAUACCCGGGUAGUCCACGCCGUAAACGAUGUCGACUUGGAGGUUGUGCCCUUGAGGCGUGGCUUCCGGAGCUAACGCGUUAAGUCGACCGCCUGGGGAGUACGGCCGCAAGGUUAAAACUCAAAUGAAUUGACGGGGGCCCGCACAAGCGGUGGAGCAUGUGGUUUAAUUCGAUGCAACGCGAAGAACCUUACCUACUCUUGACAUCCAGAGAACUUAGCAGAGAUGCUUUGGUGCCUUCGGGAACUCUGAGACAGGUGCUGCAUGGCUGUCGUCAGCUCGUGUUGUGAAAUGUUGGGUUAAGUCCCGCAACGAGCGCAACCCUUAUCCUUUGUUGCCAGCGAUUCGGUCGGGAACUCAAAGGAGACUGCCAGUGAUAAACUGGAGGAAGGUGGGGAUGACGUCAAGUCAUCAUGGCCCUUACGAGUAGGGCUACACACGUGCUACAAUGGCAUAUACAAAGAGAAGCGACCUCGCGAGAGCAAGCGGACCUCAUAAAGUAUGUCGUAGUCCGGAUUGGAGU